UACGGAGGGGGCUAGCGUUGUUCGGAAUUACUGGGCGUAAAGCGCACGUAGGCGGCUUUGUAAGUUAGAGGUGAAAGCCCGGGGCUCAACUCCGGAAUUGCCUUUAAGACUGCAUCGCUAGAAUUGUGGAGAGGUAAGUGGAAUUCCGAGUGUAGAGGUGAAAUUCGUAGAUAUUCGGAAGAACACCAGUGGCGAAGGCGGAUCUCUGGGCCGUAACUGACGCUGAGACGCGAAAGCGUGGGGAGCGAACAGG
rnacentral:rRNA from 1 species